CAGACCCCAUUCGUGUUCAGCGAGUGGCUUGACCUGUCCUGGCGCCGGCGCCGGGUGCAGCAGAACCUGACAUGUGAGCGGCAUUGGCCACACCAGCCUGACAAGGUCCUUGUGGAGGCCACGCUGGAGCACGUCCUCACAGCUGCCUGUGCCAAGCAGAGCUUCCGGGGAGAAGUGGAGACUGACUAUGCGCACUGGCUGCGCCAUUCCCUCCACCUGGGACUCUGUGACCUGCCCAGGGCUCUCCUGGUCUCCGGGGAGCACGCUCUGGGUCGGGGUGGGCUCCUGCUGCGUUCCCACUGUCAGCUGGGCCUCGCCCCGGACUCAGACCCCGGCCUGCACCUCAGGCUGACCCUCC